UACAGAGGGUGCGAGCGUUAAUCGGAAUUACUGGGCGUAAAGCGUGCGUAGACGGUUAUUUAAGUCGGGUGUGAAAGCCCCGGGCUCAACCUGGGAAUUGCAUUCGAGACUGAAUAGCUAGGGUACGGUAGAGGGAAGCGGAAUUUCCGGUGUAGCGGUGAAAUGCGUAGAUAUCGUAAGGAAGACCAGUGGCGAAGGCGGGUCUCUGGACAGUUCCUGACGCUGGAGGCACGAAGGUCAGGGGAGCAAACGGG
rnacentral:rRNA from 1 species